GACGAACGCUGGCGGCGUGCUUAACACAUGCAAGUCGAACGGAAAGGCCCUGCUUUUGUGGGGUGCUCGAGUGGCGAACGGGUGAGUAACACGUGAGUAACCUGCCCUUGACUUUGGGAUAACUUCAGGAAACUGGGGCUAAUACCGGAUAGGAGCUCCUGCUGCAUGGUGGGGGUUGGAAAGUUUCGGCGGUUGGGGAUGGACUCGCGGCUUAUCAACUUGUUGGUGGGGUAGUGGCUUACCAAGGCUUUGACGGGUAGCCGGCCUGAGAGGGUGACCGGCCACAUUGGGACUGCGAUACGGCCCAGACUCCUACGGGAGGCAGCAGUGGGGAAUAUUGCACAAUGGGCGGAAGCCUGAUGCAGCAACGCCGCGUGCGGGAUGACGGCCUUCGGGCUGUAAACCGCUUUCGCCUGUGACGAAGCGUGAGUGACGGUAAUGGGUAAAGAAGCACCGGCUAACUACGUG
rnacentral:rRNA from 1 species